AGGCAAAUGGGCCUUAAUCCGGGACAAGCUCUCGGAGCUCCGGGCCCAGCUCGUCGACUUUGCCGACCUCCCAACCUCCACCUCCCACCCCCUCUCCCUCCACCUCCUCCUCUCCGUCUCUCAAACCCUCAGCGACGCCGUUUCGCUCUCCCUCAAAUGCCAGACAGCCAAUCUCUCCGCCGGCAAGCUCCGCACCCAGAGCGACGUCGACUCGAUCCUGGCCCGCCUCGACCGCCACGUCGCCGACGC
rnacentral:lncRNA from 1 species